UUAAGUUCAGCGGGUAUCCCUACCUGAUCCGAGGUCAAACUUUGAGAAUGGUGUUCCCGGGCGAGGGGCCGCCGGAACUCCGAAGCGAGGGAAGAUUCUUGCUACGCUUAGAGCCCGACGGUCCCGCCCAACGGGUUGCGGGCGCCUCGACGGGCCGGCACCCAAUACCAAGCGGGGCUUGAGAGUUUAAAUGACGCUCG
rnacentral:misc_RNA from 1 species